rnacentral:rRNA from 1 species
AUUGAACGCUGGCGGCAUGCUUUACACAUGCAAGUCGAACGGCAGCGCGGGCUUCGGCCUGGCGGCGAGUGGCGAACGGGUGAGUAAUGCAUCGGAACGUGCCCAGUAGUGGGGGAUAGCCCGGCGAAAGCCGGAUUAAUACCGCAUACGACCUGAGGGUGAAAGCGGGGGACCGAAAGGCCUCGCGCUAUUGGAGCGGCCGAUGUCGGAUUAGCUAGUUGGUGGGGUAAAGGCUUACCAAGGCGACGAUCCGUAGCUGGUCUGAGAGGACGACCAGCCACACUGGGACUGAGACACGGCCCAGACUCCUACGGGAGGCAGCAGUGGGGAAUUUUGGACAAUGGGGGCAACCCUGAUCCAGCCAUGCCGCGUGCGGGAAGAAGGCCUUCGGGUUGUAAACCGCUUUUGUUCGGGAAGAAAUCCUCUGGGCUAAUACCCCGGGGGGAUGACGGUACCGGAGAAUAAGCACCGGCUAACUACGUG